rnacentral:lncRNA from 1 species
AGAAAUCACUCUGUAGACCAAACUGGCCUGGAACUCACAAAGAUCCACUUGCCUUUGCCCCCUGAGUGCUAAUGAAGGAACCAGCUUCCUUUUGGCAGCCAUAACAGCCGAACACGUGCUUGCCAUAAACCUGCCUUGGUCACGUAGAGGUCAGAUGCCUGUCUCGUGACAAGGAACCCAUCAGAAGUUAGUCACUAGAAAGUCAGAUGCCUGUCUCGUGACAAGGAGCCAAUCGGAAGUUAGCUGGUGGCGCUAUGCUUUACGACCCUGGGUGUGCUUUACGGACAAGCGCACAGCAAUGACGUAGAGAGCAUAGCAACCACCCUGGGAGGGCCUAUGGGCCAUAACAACCAGUUGACCAAUCAACACAGGGCAAGCCCUCCAAGCCUGGAAGCACACCAAUCGUGAGCCUGUGCGUAAGCCUGUGCGUACCCCUAGACACUCCCCUUACGCUGCCCUAUAAGAUCUUUUGGGAGACCCAAGGAGCCGUCUUUUCUAGCCGUCCGCCAUGGCGGGUGGGUGAAAGACCGAGCUAACAUGGGGUUAGCUCGUUAAAUUACAAUAAAGCCUCAUGCAGUUUGCAUCAAGCUUUCGCCUCCAUUCUGUGUUUGGGGUGGCCGCCCUCCUGGGCUAAGAUUCUGGAAGCCUCAGCUUUCUGAGGGUCUUACACUGGGAUGAAAGAGCACACCACGCCAGGACUCAUGUGCUUGUCACUGUUGAGCCCCCCACCCCUGCCACCCCCAGCCUGGUGGAUGUUCAUGAAGUCCCUGCUUACCUGGACUUCUGCAUGACACGAGGAAAGCAUUCCAUGAAGGUGACAGGAGAAUCUUCUUGUUGCAUGAACAAAACCACAAGGUGCAUCUCAGGCGGCUGUUGAUGGAACGGGAAGGCUCCCUCUCACGUGGCUGUUGGGAAGAUUUGAGUCAGGCAAACCACAGAAGCCAUAGCGUGGUCUAGCCAGUGGGUCCUGAACUUGAGUGCAGCCUCCAAGAAAGCCAGCACACAGACCCUUUGAGGAGCUCUUACAAGAAUGGGACCCCCCCAGCUGACCCUCCAACCUGCCACCUCCCUCUUCAGACGCUCGCCCACCCCAGUCUUUCCAGGCCUUCUCAUUCUUCUUCAUGAAGCCGUUUCUUUUCUUUCUUUUUUUUUUUAAUUUUAUUUAUUUAUUAUGUAUACAGCAUUCUGCUUCCAUGUAUAUCUGCACACCAGAAGAGGGCACCAGAUCUCAUAACGGAUGGUUGUGAGCCACCAUGUGGUUGCUGGGAAUUGAACUCAGGACCUCUGGAAGAGCAGCCAGUGCUCUUAACCUCUGAGCCCUCUCUCCAGCUCCGAUGACGUUUCUUUCCAGGCUGAGCUUAGUGGGUGUGCACCUGCAAUUUUCCUGUACACAGCAAAUUGGGGACCAGCCCAGCUACAUCUGACCUGUCUCAAAAACAAACAGGUAGGGGGGUGUUGAAGAUGGCUCCAUGAGCAGUCACCAAGCUGAGGACCUGAGUUUGAUUCCUGGGAUCCAUAUGGUAGAAGAGAACCAACUCCUGCAAGUUGCCCGCUGAUCCCUGCACAUGUAUGUGGCACUCAUGAGUGUGCUCUUGCACAUGUGUACAUAUAUAUACAAGAUAAAUGUUGAUUUUUUUUUUAAAUUUACUUUCCACCUAAACCCAGAGGCACCAACCCUGGGUUUUUUGGUUUUUUAUUGGGGAGGGGUGGUUUUCAAAACAGAGUUUCUCUGUAUGGCUUUGGAGGCUGUCCUGGAACUUGCUCUGUAGACCAGGCUGGCCUCGAACUCAUAGAGACCCAUCUGCCUCUGCCUCCUGAGUGUCAGGAUUAAAGGUCUAUGCCACUACUGCCCAGCCUAGAAUUUUCAUUCUUUGGGGUGGGGAGGCAUCGUGAGUGCUGGGGACAGAUUCUGGGACCUUGCACAUCCUAGGCACGUGCCCUGCCUGUCUAAGCAUGCCCCAACCUUGUUUGUUUUCAGACACUACAGGAAAGGGGCCGAAUUCUAUUGUGUGGUGACCCCUACCCAGGGGUCAGGCAGCCUUCGGCUGGGGUCUGAGACUCCACAGCUCUGUAGCACAAGCGGGGAUCAGAGCUGGGACGAGGCCAAAGGCAAAGGCAACCAGGAGAAGCAGAGUGGCUUUUCUCUGUGAAGGUCAAAUCCCAGGAGCUCAGGCUGGACUCAGCUUUUAGCUCUCAUUACUCUGAAGGUCAGAUAACAACUUAUCUUUGGCCUGGUGACAGGGAAACCAGUGUAGGUGACUUGGGUUUGGUCUGGUCCUUUGGAGCAGAACACCUCAGGCAGACCAAUGGUGUCCCUCUGUCUCCCUUGCUGGAAGGAAAGCAAUCCUGUGACAGCCAGAGCUGGGGCCUCAUCCAGGGCAUCCUCCCUCCUCCCUCCCUCCUCCCUCUCCCUCCCUCCCUCCCUCCCUCUCUCCCUAUUUCCCUCUCUCUCCCCUUCUCCUUGUGUCCUCCAGGGCCUGUAUCUUGUGAGCUUCCUUGCCUCCUCCUAGGGAGUCCUGCAGCUUGUCUUGGCCCUGAUGGCUUCUGAUGCUGGUUCCCCCUUGUCCUCUGUGGCUACACUAUCCUCUGUCUCUUAGCUGACUAACCUUCCCUAUGGCAGAGUUCUUUUUGCGACCCUUCCUCUGUUGGCGCCCAAACUCUGAGCCUCCCAAAUCACCAAGAGACCCAAUCCAAUGCAAAAACAAAGUCUUUUGUUUUCCGAGUUAACUUGGGUUCCCAGGUCCAGUCCCUCCUGCUUCACCUCUGAGUUAACUCAUAAAUUACAAAGACUCUUUGCUUUUGCAUCGGAGAUGGUCUCUUGGUGGUUCUGGGGGUUCAGAGUCUGGGCACAAUAAGACAUGUGUCUAACUACUUACGUAUUUGCUAAUUGCUCAACACAAAGCUUCUAGGAAAUUCAGAUAGUAACAACAUAUAUUUUAUAAAUAAGGUAUAUCUGAUAAGUAAGAUGUAUAAAUUUCUAAGAUCUGCUCAGGGUCACAGUAAUAUUUGUGUAGCUUCUUUGUCUUUGCUCACUUUGUUUUAAGAUUGUUCUGUGUGGACAAACUAAGUCAUUCAAAAAAUAAAAACUCCUGUGUUAGUCUAUAAUGGUGAUUAUAGGUUUAUAUCGAUACUAAAAGAGCUUCAAUUCAAAAAUUGUUAUUUUUUUUAAGGCUAAUCCUAACAGGGAUAAAAUGUGAAGUCCUAAUCUUUUAAAAACAAAACCUACUCACUUAUUGUAAAUUGUUAGAUAAUUAACACAUGCAAGUUAAUGGUCUAUCACCUUAUAAAUGAUCAAAUUCUUUAAUAUAUUCAGAACUAGGAUACUGAUCAUGUUGAAUAUUAAUGUAAUUACAGGAAUAAGCUCUGUUUAGCUUCCUGUAUAUGUUUUCAAAGUCAAGCCUAAAACAUGUAGCUAGAAACAAGCAAAAUUUGCUUAGUUUAGAUAUACUUAAUUGAUAGUGGUACUCAAAACUCCUCAGAGAUCUGGAGAAUAUGGCAUUUAAAAUGUUUAAUGGAAAAGGCACCCUGUGGUGGGGAGAAGUGCCAGCCCCCGGCCAGAACACAGAAGUUUCCAAGGAAGACGAUGGGCGCAGAGGAACUCCGCCUGGAGCUGCUUUGAAUGCAACAGUGUUGGCCACUGGGUAAAAACUACCCUUCCCCUUAGCCACCAUCAGGAUCCUGC